GGAGGGAGGGAGAGUUGAUGUUGUGAAUUGAAGCUCUGUUCCAAUGGAGUCAACUUUAUAUGCAGCAACAAGAACAACGCUCUUCAUUUGUCGUCUACACCGUCCGAUUCAUUGCCAAUCCGUGUCUCUUCAACUCACACGACCUUUCAACGGCGAGUCUCAGAGAUCAAAAGCAUUGAGUUCGAUCUCUCAUUCCCCAAAUUCACUCCCGACUUUGUGUUCCGUUCGCUCUCGCUUGCACUGCGCUGCUUCUCCCUCUUCCACAGCCGGCGGCGGCGGCGCCGAUGGUGGAGCUCUGUCGCCUGAUGCGAUAAUUAUUAAUGUCGAAGGUAUGAUGUGUGGAGGAUGUGUAGCGAGCGUGAAGAGAAUUUUGGAAAGCCAACCACAAGUGUUGUCUGCCAGUGUCAAUCUUGAAACAGAAACAGCAACUAUAUGGCCUGUUUCUGAGGCCAAGGUUAUGCCGAACUGGCAAAGGCAUGUAGGAGAGAUCCUUGCGAAUCAUUUGACCAGUUGUGGAUUUAAGUCUAAUUUUCGAGCUUAAUCAGUACUGCAAUGUAAGAUCAAAGAUCAUGUCAAGCUUGAACCUGCAUCUCUUGCCAUAGAGGCAUUAGGUCAGGGAGCUAUUGAAGGAGACAUUCCAUUAUAGAAAAUCCAAAGGAUUUCUUGCAAGUGCAACCAGUCCUUUGAUGGUAUGUCUUAUAAAAUUGGGUUUUCUAUUUCAGAGACUUGUCCUUGCAUCAAUAGGUGAGAGUCUCUCUGACUACUAGUAGUGGAUUUGUUGGAGUGAGGCAUUUCUAUAUCCCGUUGAGCCCAUUUAUUUUUCGAUAAUUUCUGUUAGCAUGAUCUGAAUUCAAGCAAUUUGUGCCUUAUCAUUGGUCAAUUGGGGAUGUCCAUUCUUUGGAAAAUUUAAUAUGUCAGAUCUCGCGUGUAAUGACUGUAUCAGCUGAACAAUACUCGUGUUGUUUUUGUUUUUGUUUUUUUGGCUUUUCUCCCCCAUGUUUUGACUUUCCCCAAUUUAGUUUGUUCUCUUCUUUUGAAGAUUUGUACUUGCCCUAUUUCAGCAAAGCCAUGUUGGUUAUUGUGAUGACUUGUAUAACUGUAUCUAUAUAUCCAAAUUUUGUGUUUUGAUGUAAUCCUCCAAGUUGGGCAAGGUUGUUAUCUGCCUGUGUGCACUUCACA